AGUGUCUCCGUCAGUAUUUUUCACGACUGGGCCACGUCCACCCAGAGUGACUUUUUCCUGUCGACGUUGUUAGGACUCACCAUGUGUGACCACUCUCUCAGGAUUUAUUGCACUUAGAAAAAUAACUUUAGUUUCAGAAAUCAGGGAUGGGUACCAACAUCUUGGCUUUGUCAGCCUGACAAAAUGCACAACGGGAGAGGCGAGAGGUAAGUUUUAUUUGGGCAAAAUGAGGACCAGAGCCCGGAGGCAGCCUUCCGAGAGCUGAGAAACCGUUCCAGAGAGAUCGGGGGAAGGUCAGCCUAGAUGGGAUGCGGGUGAAGGGGGAGGUCCAGGCAGCCAGGCGCGCAUUUUUGCAGAAGGUCACUGCUCGUCUCAAGGUCACUGCCGGUCAUGAGGAGACAUCGCCGUGAAGGACUUUAGUGCUUUUCUAGAUACGAGCCGAUGCAAGACCUGGGCUCAUGACAUCCUCUGAAAACAUCUCACUAUCCGAAGGCCUGUUCUGCCAGUUUUCCCAGAGCACGGAGCCCUCCCUCCCGAGCCCCUAAGCCUGGCUCCUUUCAGGGGUGCUGAGGGUCGGCAGCUGCAGUGGCUCCUGACUCAGUCCUCACGGAGGCAGGUGGCAGCACCUGUGUCCAGCUCACAGUCUGUGCUCAUGACCUUACACCCCUAAUUCCAUCCCCCAGGAAAGGUGACCCCUCAGGUGAGGGGCAUGACGUCGGCGGUAAGCAGACAGGUGUUACAGUCCAAGGGCAGCCCUGGGAGGGGCGGGCGGCCGGGGGCUCCUGUACGCCCCCCUGCCCCAACCCUGGUCCCCACACACCAGGGGCCGGUUUGGUCUCCUCUCUGCUUCCCCGCUCGUGCAGGUGGCGAAGAGGGUGAAGGACACCGUGGGGUGAUAGGUCCCCGCAAACAGUGGAGCUCUGAUCGUGGUCACGGAAUUGCACAAGAAACCCCGUGGGCCGAGGCGGCCGUGGCAGCUCCACCAACAGCCUGGCCUCAGGCUCCUCUGUCUCCACUUUGCUGGAGCAGCUCACACCCUCGAGCGUUUCCUGGCUUCAUCUUGCCAUCGUACUCUGGCGUCUAGUUACAGUGAGGAACCCCCGUCUGAGCCCAAGGGAGCCCAGCUUCGCUCUCUCAACAUCUCUUCCACCACUUCCCGGGGGCUAAGUGGGAAUUCACUCCAGACAGCAGUUCUGGCCCCAUCAGGGCACAACUCGCGUCUGGGCCAGAACUUCAUCUCUUCAUUGCAGAAAGUUAAGGAAAUCGUUGCUCAGCCAGGGAGCAAAGAUUGGCUCUGCAGCUGCUCUUUUAUGGAGCUGUUAACGCAGAGACACCAUUACUUAAAUGUAAUUUUUAGUAUUACAAUUAAAGACUGAUUUGAUUUUAUGAGAUCAUGCAUUUUUAUUUUAUGGACGUUUUUGUAGUUAAAUUCAAUUUAAAAGAUUGUAUUUAAAGUAAGGUAUAAGCACGGAGCGUAUUAAAGUUAUGUAAGCCUGCUUUUGGCGCUCUGAUAGCAAAGCUUCCAGCACUGGAUUACUCUGGUAGCGCCACAUGUUUCCUGCUACAACUACGUACUAGCUCAGGAGAAACGAACUUGGCUUCCUCUGUUUGUGACAGCCCCAAAUCUAUCAAGCCUCACGAAGCUCACUGUCAGUUUUCUGCAGGAAAGAAACACUCCUCUCCUUUCAGCCGACUCUCUGAGGAAGGACUUCCAUGGACCCAGGUGCUCUUUCGCUGGGAUUUCACUCUCUGUGCGACACGGAGCUGUGCCCGUGGGGACCAGCCUGCAGAAUGCCACGAGCUGUGCCCGUGGGGACCAGCCCUCCCAGGGCUGAGGCCAGCUGAUGACCCGGUGCGAUUUUUGAAGGCUUCGUUUCUGACGGCAGAAAAGCACGUCAGCGUAUUUGCACGGAAUAGAUUAAGCUGCUGGGAACCACGUCCCCUUCAACCGGACUGACGUGGGACCAAGAAGGGGCUUUGUCCUUGUCACCUGGCCUGUCCUAGGUCACCGGGACAAGCAAGGGAAGCGGCGGACCCUCUUUUAAGCCCCACGUCGCAAAAAUGCGUGAAAUGAGCCCAGACUGAAUUAGAUCCUUCCUCCCACGUAUUUUGGCUGAAAGGUCGCUCUUCCUUCUCUCACUCGUGUUUCCUGGGCGCGAAUCCUGGUUUCUCCGCCAUCGAAUUAGCAGAGGAGCAAAGGUUACUCAGAUCUUGGCGCUUUGACGAGUAAGUCCUGCUGGCUGAGUGGGCCCCGUGUCCGGCCAGCGACCGUCCCUCUCACUGUCAGCACCGCCGACCGGAGGGAGCUGGUCCUGCUCGUGCCCGGAGGCUGCUGGGGGCUGCUGGCGGGGGGGGGGGGGGGGGGGGCUGCCAGGGGUCGGGGCGGGGGGCUGCCAGGGGUCUGAGGGGCUGCUGGGGAGCUGGGCCCCGGAAAGAGCCUGUCCUCAAGUCACUCACUUGCCCAGAGCCCACUGCUGUGGUCACUUGGGCCUCACUUUUUAGAAAGAAAGGAGGGGAAAGGAAGAAAGAACUCGGGUUUCCCAGGGCCCGCCCUUUGUGGGUUCUCUGAUCCUGAGAAGGGGGUGAAAAGCCCAAAGGACUUAAUUCUAAAGAAGGAGAAGCGGAGCAGGGACUGAUGGGACAAUGGGGUGACCCGGCCGGAAGGUGGCCAGGCUGCCCGUUGGUUGUUUUACUUUCAAAGGACGAGCCCUGCCCUUGAUGCUGCCGAGUCAGGGAAGCAGCAGAGCCAGGGGCCGGGGGGCGGUGGACACAGAGCUGCUUCUCCGUUCAGGGCACGGUGUUUUCAGGAGGAACCUCCAGCAAGUGAGUAAAGCUGGGGAGUUGGGUUGUUAGCUGCCAGAAGCUGGGGUUCACCAAAAAGACUUUAAAGUGAUGACAAGGGGGUGUCCUGGC
rnacentral:lncRNA from 9 species